CUCCAUUAACAUCAAGAGAAUAAUCUCCGUAUAACCAAGACUCUUUAAUGAUUACAUUGUAGACAAAAAUGUGUUCAUAAGCUCUGAAGUUACAAGCACAAGAGCAAGGGACUCUCAGUUUGUUCGAUUACAUAUGUUGUGGACUACAUUAACAACUGAUAGAAACUUAUAAAGUACAUAUACAUGGAGAAAAUGAGUAAGGAAAGCUUGGAUCAGAACUCUCCUUCCUGUAUCAACUUUUGCAUACACACUGUUUAUCUGCCAUGGUGCACGGUGAUACUACGAGCACAAUGCAGCACCUGGAUCCUUGUUGGUUUCUCACAUCUUAGAGUGCAAGUCAGGUUUUCUGCUCGAUUGAGGAAUGCUACUUCCUACAGCAUGUCUUUGCUUGUGGAACUUCUCUUUAGCUUUGAAGAGGAUCACAUGUACCUCUUGGAAAUGAGGUUCCAUGGCAUUCUUUGUGUCAUCAAUCCACUUCAAAACUCUCUUGUAUGGGCCUAUUAUCCGCUCACGAUCCUUCUCAUCCAAAAUCUCAAGUUCCAUAAUCUCACACACUAAGCUAAGAUCUGCAAUUGAAGGUUGGCCACUCCCAAGCAAAAACCGUCCUUUUCUCUGGAGCCAAACAGACUCGACUUUUGCAAGAGAUGCCAAAAGGACUUUCUCAGCUUCUGCUGCUGCUUGUGGAUUCAAUGGCAGCCCAAAAGCAGGAGCAAGAACAGUAUUAAAGAUAUAUCCAGCUGCACCGCGACGCAAGUUUGAGUGAUGCCAGUCCAACACAGAGUCUACCUUUGCUCUUUUGUAUAAGUCAGCAGGGUACCAAUGAUCUGCUAUUCCUGGAAAUGCACAAGCCAGAUAUCUAAGAAUUGCAUGACUUUCGAAAAGCUUAAAUCUUCCAUCAAUUAUAGCUGGUACUUGCUUCAUGGGAUUAAUUUCUUUAAAUUCAGGAGAUAACUGC
rnacentral:misc_RNA from 1 species